rnacentral:rRNA from 1 species
UAGCUAUUCAAUUGCUCAGAGGUGAMAUUCUUGGAUUUAUUGAAGACUGACUACUGCGAAAGCAUUUGCCAAGGAUGUUUUCAUUAAUCAAGAACGAAAGUUAGGGGAUCGAAGACGAUCAGAUACCGUCGUAGUCUUAACCAUAAACUAUGCCGACUAGGGAUCGGAUGAUGUUAAUUUUUUAAUGACUCA